CUAUUUUCUCCUCCGAACAAGUAAUCAAUAAGUUGACAACUGCCAGCAAAGCAGGAAGGAGCCGUUUCAGACUCCCUAGGACCUCUCUCCUACUGAGAGCGAGACAAGAAAGCUGCUUUUUUGGGUUUGUUUCUUCUUCCCACCACUAACAUGUAAUUUUCAUGCAGCAGCCUGAAGUUCCAUCCAAGAAAACAAAAUGAGAUGAAAUCAGCAAGGAUGUGUAACUACACGCUCGGCUAAAUGCUGGAGACGACACCCAUGCCAGAGCCCAGCUCAUCUCAUCCGAGGCUGCCUGCCGGGGGUGGAAGCAGCCCCUUCUUCACAGACCACAGUGAAGAGAACAUUAGCUGGAAGUGUGACGCCUGAGCUGAUGGCUGUGACAGUGCCCAGAGAAAGCGAUCUGUGAGGCGAGACAGAACCGGCUGUGAAGACAGGAC
rnacentral:lncRNA from 1 species